UACGGAGGGUGCAAGCGUUGUCCGGAUUUAUUGGGUUUAAAGGGCGCGUAGGCGGCCACCGCAAGUCGACUGUGAAAUCUCCGGGCUUAACCCGGAAAGGUCAACCGAUACUGCGGGGCUAGAGUGCAGAAGGGGCAACUGGAAUUCUCGGUGUAGCGGUGAAAUGCGUAGAUAUCGAGAGGAACACCUGCGGCGAAGGCGGGUUGCUGGGCUGACACUGACGCUGAAGUGCGAAAGCUAGGGGAGCGAACGGG
rnacentral:rRNA from 1 species